GCAGUCGAGCGGUAAGGCCCUUCGGGGUACACGAGCGGCGAACGGGUGAGUAACACGUGAGCAACCUGCCCCUGACUCCGGGAUAAGCGGUGGAAACGCCGUCUAAUACCGGAUAUGACACACCAUCUCCUGGUGGUGUGUGGAAAGUUUUAUCGGUCAGGGAUGGGCUCGCGGCCUAUCAGCUUGUUGGUGGGGUAAAGGCCUACCAAGGCGAUUACGGGUAGCCGGCCUGAGAGGGCGACCGGCCACACUGGGACUGAGACACGGCCCAGACUCCUGCGGGAGGCAGCAGUGGGGAAUAUUGCACAAUGGGCGAAAGCCUGAUGCAGCGACGCCGCGUGGGGGAUGACGGCCUUCGGGUUGUAAACCUCUUUUACCACCAACGCAGGCCCCGGGUUCUCUCGGGGUUGACGGUAGGUGGGGAAUAAGGACCGGCUAACUACGUGCCAGCAGCCGCGGUAAUACGUAGGGUCCGAGCGUUGUCCGGAAUUAUUGGGCGUAAAGAGCUCGUAGGCGGCGUGUCGCGUCUGCUGUGAAAGACCGGGGCUUAACCCCGGUUCUGCAGUGGAUACGGGCAUGCUAGAGGUAGGUAGGGGAGACUGGAAUUCCUGGUGUAGCGGUGAAAUGCGCAGAUAUCAGGAGGAACACCGGUGGCGAAGGCGGGUCUCUGGGCCUUACCUGACGCUGAGGAGCGAAAGCAUGGGGGAGCGAACAG
rnacentral:rRNA from 1 species